rnacentral:rRNA from 1 species
CCUACGGGAGGCUGCAGUGAGGAAUAUUGGUCAAUGGACGAGAGACUGAACCAGCCAAGCAGCGUGAAGGAUGAAUGCCCUGUGGGUUGUAAACUUCUUUUAUAUGGGAAUAAAAUGUUCCACGUGUGGGAUGUUGUAUGUACCAUAUGAAUAAGGAUCGGCUAACUCCGUGCCAGCAGCCGCGGUAAUACGGAGGAUCCGAGCGUUAUCCGGAUUUAUUGGGUUUAAAGGGGGCGUAGGUGGAUUGUUAAGUCAGUUGUGAAAGUUUGCGGCUCAACCGUAAAAUUGCAGUUGAAACUGGCAGUCUUGAGUACAGUAGAGGUGGGCGGAAUGCGUGGUGUAGCGGUGAAAUGCUUAGAUAGCACGAAGAACUCCGAUUGCGAAGGCAGUUCACUGGACUGCAACUGACACUGAGGCUCGAAAGUGUGGGUAUCAAACAGGAUUAGAUACCCCUGUAGUC